rnacentral:rRNA from 1 species
UGGGGAAUAUUGCACAAUGGAGGGAACUCUGAUGCAGCGACGCCGCGUGAACGAAGAAGGCUUUCGAGUCGUAAAGUUCUUUUAUAUGGGAAGAUAAUGACGGUACCAUAAGAAGAAGCCCCGGCUAACUACGUGCCAGCAGCCGCGGUAAUACGUAGGGGGCUAGCGUUGUCCGGAAUCACUGGGCGUAAAGGGUUCGCAGGCGGAAAUGCAAGUCAGGUGUAAAAGGCAGUAGCUUAACUACUGUAAGCAUUUGAAACUGCAUAUCUUGAGAAGAGUAGAGGUAAGUGGAAUUUUUAGUGUAGCGGUGAAAUGCGUAGAUAUUAAAAAGAAUACCGGUGGCGAAGACGACUUACUGGGCUCAUUCUGACGCUGAGGAACGAAAGCGUGGGUAGCAAACAGG